UACGUAGGGUGCAAGCGUUAAUCGGAAUUACUGGGCGUAAAGCGUGCGCAGGCGGUUUUGUAAGUCUGUCGUGAAAUCCCCGGGCUCAACCUGGGAAUUGCGAUGGAGACUGCAAGGCUAGAAUCUGGCAGAGGGGGGUAGAAUUCCACGUGUAGCAGUGAAAUGCGUAGAUAUGCGGAGGAACACCGAUGGCGAAGGCAAUCCCCUGGGCCUGUACUGACGCUCAUGCACGAAAGCGUGGGGAGCAAACAGG
rnacentral:rRNA from 1 species